rnacentral:rRNA from 1 species
CGCGGCGGAGGCUACAGCAACCAGGCUUGNAGGAAACGACACUAACNAUCCUCCGGGUGCNUUUGAUUGGGCGUCGAGCGGCGGACGGGUGAGUAAUGCCUAGGAAAUUGCCUUGAUGUGGGGGAUAACCAUUGGAAACGAUGGCUAAUACCGCAUAAUGCCUACGGGCCAAAGAGGGGGACCUUCGGGCCUCUCGCGUCAAGAUAUGCCUAGGUGGGAUUAGCUAGUUGGUGAGGUAAUGGCUCACCAAGGCGACGAUCCCUAGCUGGUCUGAGAGGAUGAUCAGCCACACUGGAACUGAGACACGGUCCAGACUCCUACGGGAGGCAGCAGUGGGGAAUAUUGCACAAUGGGCGAAAGCCUGAUGCAGCCAUGCCGGUGUAUGAACGAAGGCCUUCGGGUUGUAAAGUACUUUCAGUUCUGUGANGANAGGGUGUGUCACGUCUAAUAGCUGCGGCAUUCUUGACGUUAGCAACAGCAGAAAGCACCGGCUAAACUCCGUGCCAGCAGCCGCGGGUCAUCACCGGGACCGGUGCCGACGCGUUACACUCCGGGAAAUACCUUGGGGCCGGUACAACGCGGGCCUUGCCCAGGUUGGCGUUCCAUUCUNAGGUUCGUCAUUGGUUNCAACAUCGCCCCGGGGGCCUUCCAU